ensembl:lncRNA
GGGAUGGACAAAAGGGAAGCAGAUAUUUUCAUGAGCACAAUGUUCCUGUUUUUCUAAACUUGGUGUAAAUACGUGAUGCAGAUGGGCCAGGAGUGUGUGUGUGUGUGUGUGUGUGUGCAUUAGGUACGGGUGUUGAACAGUAGCACCUGCAUUCUUGCGCUAUACUCCUCCAAGUGCUUUUAAGUCACCUUUGCCACUGUUGUUUCCACUGUCUUGCUGUUUCUUAGACAACACUAAUGCCAUUUCAGUGAAAUCAUGUCUUCAAGUCUGGGCUCUGAAUCAAAACUUCAGAAAUGUUUAGUCAUUGGUCAUAAAGUCUUGGUUGCUUAAUGAUUGGGAAUUUUCAAAGAUCUUUAAUCAGUCAAUCAAUCAAUCAAUCAAUUGAAUAUUUAUCUGUCUGUCUGUCUGUCUGUCUGUCUCCUCCGUCUGUCUGUCUGUCUCUGUCUGUCUGUCUCCUCUGUCUGUCUGUCUGUCUCUGUCUGUCUGUCUCCUCUGUCUGUCUCCUUUGUCUGUCUGUCUAUCUGUCUGUCUCCUUUGUCUGUCUGUCUAUCUGUCUGUCUCAUUUGUCUGUCUGUCUCCUUUGUCUGUCUGUCUGUCUGUCUGUCUGUCUGUCUGUCUCCUCUGUCUGUCUGUCUGUCUGUCUGUCUUCUCUGUCUGUCUAUCUGUCUGUCUCCUUUGUCUGUCUGUCUAUCUGUCUGUCUCAUUUGUCUGUCUGUCUCCUUUGUCUGUCUGUCUGUCUGUCUGUCUGUCUGUCUGUCUCCUCUGUCUGUCUGUCUGUCUGUCUGUCUUCUCUGUCUGUCUAUCUGUCUGUCUCCUUUGUCUGUCUGUCUAUCUGUCUGUCUCAUUUGUCUGUCUGUCUCCUUUGUCUGUCUGUCUGUCUGUCUGUCUGUCUGUCUGUCUCCUCUGUCUGUCUGUCUGUCUGUCUGUCUUCUCUGUCUGUCUAUCUGUCUGUCUCCUUUGUCUGUCUGUCUAUCUGUCUGUCUCAUUUGUCUGUCUGUCUCCUUUGUCUGUCUGUCUGUCUGUCUGUCUGUCUGUCUGUCUCCUCUGUCUGUCUGUCUGUCUGUCUGUCUUCUCUGUCUGUCUAUCUGUCUGUCUCCUUUGUCUGUCUGUCUAUCUGUCUGUCUCAUUUGUCUGUCUGUCUCCUUUGUCUGUCUGUCUGUCUGUCUGUCUGUCUGUCUGUCUUCUCUGUCUGUCUGUCUGUCUGUCUGUCUUCUCUGUCUGUCUGUCUGUCUCUCUGUCUGUCUGUCUGUCUGUCUUUUUUUCUGUCUCCUCUGUCUGUCUCUCUGUCUGUCUCCUCUGUCUGUCUGUCUGUCUGUUUGUCUGUCUCCGCUGUCUGUCUCUCUGUCUGUCUGUCUGUCUGUCUGUCUUCUCUGUCUGUCUGUCUGUCUCUCUGUCUGUCUGUCUGUCUGUCUGUUUGUCUGUCUCCUCUGUCUGUCUCUCUGUCUGUCUCCUCUGUCUGUCUGUCUGUCUGUUUGUCUGUCUCCUCUGUCUGUCUCUCUGUCUGUCUUCUCUGUCUGUCUGUCUUCUCUCUGUCUGUCUCUGUCUGUCUGUCUUUGUCUGUCUCCUCUAUCUGUCUGUCUGUCUCCUCUGUGUGUGUGUAUGUGUGUCUGUCUGUCUGUCUGUCCAUAUAUAAUUUUUUUUUCAGUAUAGAAGCUAAAAUAACUUACAUUUAACUAAUUAACAGAUAAAACGGUUAAAUUCUUUUCUCUUUAUUUUUGAAAACAUGUUUAGAGUGUAG